UACGUAGGUGGCAAGCGUUGUCCGGAAUUACUGGGCGUAAAGAGCUCGUAGGUGGUUUGUCGCGUUGUCCGUGAAAACUCACAACUCAAUUGUGGGCGUGCGGGCGAUACGGGCAGACUGGAGUACUGCAGGGGAGACUGGAAUUCCUGGUGUAGCGGUGGAAUGCGCAGAUAUCAGGAGGAACACCGGUGGCGAAGGCGGGUCUCUGGGCAGUAACUGACGCUGAGGAGCGAAAGCGUGGGGAGCGAACAGG
rnacentral:rRNA from 1 species